GAUGAAGAACGCAGUGAAAUGCGAUACGUAAUGUGAAUUGCAGAAUUCAGUGAAUCAUCGAGUCUUUGAACGCACAUUGCGCCCCCUGGUAUUCCGGGGGGCAUGCCUGUCCGAGCGUCAUUGCUGCCCUCAAGCACGGCUUGUGUGUUGGGCCUCCGUCCACCUCCCGGGGGACGGGCCCGAAAGGCAGCGGCGGCACCGCGUCCGGUCCUCGAGCGUAUGGGGCUUCGUCACCCGCUCUUGUAGGCCCGGCCGGCGCUUGCCGACACAUCAAUCUUUUUUCCAGGUUGACCUCGGAUCAGGUAGGGAUACCCGCUGAACUUAAGCAUAUCAAUAAGCGGAGGA
rnacentral:misc_RNA from 1 species